rnacentral:rRNA from 1 species
GAUGAACGCUAGCGGCAGGCUUAACACAUGCAAGUCGAGGGGCAGCACGUCCUCGGAUGGUGGCGACCGGCGCACGGGUGCGUAACGCGUAUACAACCUACCUUAUAGAGGGGAAUAGCCCAGAGAAAUUUGGAUUAAUGCCCCAUAGUAUUAUUGAAUAGCAUUAUUUGAUGAUUAAACAUUUAUGGCUAUAAGAUGGGUAUGCGUUCUAUUAGCUAGAUGGUAAGGUAACGGCCUACCAUGGCAACGAUAGAUAGGGGUCCUGAGAGGGAGAUCCCCCACACUGGUGCUGAGACACGGACCAGACUCCUACGGGAGGCAGCAGUGAGGAAUAUUGGACAAUGGGCGAGAGCCUGAUCCAGCCAUGCCGCGUGCAGGAAGACGGCCCUAUGGGUUGUAAACUGCUUUUAUACGGGAAGAAACACUCCUUCGUGAAGGAGCUUGACGGUACCGUAAGAAUAAGGAUCGGCUAACUCCGUGCCAGCAGCCG